rnacentral:rRNA from 1 species
UACGUAGGGUGCAAGCGUUGUCCGGAAUUAUUGGGCGUAAAGAGCUCGUAGGCGGUCUGUCGCGUCGGAUGUGAAAACUCUGGGCUUAACCCAGAGCCUGCAUCCAAAACUGGCAACUUGAGUACUGGAGGGGAAAGCGGAAUCCUGGUGUAGCGGUGGAAUGCGCAGAUAUCAGGAGGAACACCGGUGGCGAAGGCGGGAUCCUGGGCCAGUACGUGACGCUGAGGUGCGAAAAGCGUGGGGAGCAAAGCAGGG